rnacentral:misc_RNA from 1 species
UCACAGCUUGCGCCGGCAGUCCCGACAGAGUCCUCAACAUUACUUGUUAGCAACUGUCGGUAGGGGUUGCGCUCGUUAUGGCACUUAAGCCGACACCUCACGGCACGAGCUGACGACAACCAUGCAGCACCUCGUCAGUUGCCCCGAAGGGAAUACCCGUUUCCGGAUACAGCACCUGACGUUUGAGCCCGGGUAAGGUUCCUCGCGUAUCAUCGAAUUAAACCACAUGUUCCUCCGCUUGUGCGGGCCCCCGUCAAUUCCUUUGAGUUUCACCGUUGCCGGCGUACUCCCCAGGUGGAAUACUUAACGCUUUCGCUGUAUCACCCAGAACCGAAGCCCCGGACAAUUAGUAUUCAUCGUUUACUGCGUGGACUAC